rnacentral:tRNA from 1 species
GCCUUCGUGGUGUAAUGGUCAGCACACUUGGUGCGUAUUGAAGAGAUCAGAGGUUCGAGUCCCGACGAGGGCA